CUGACUGCCCUAGAGAUGGGCAUUCUUUAUCCACAGAACAGAUACAUAUCACAGAUGGCAGCAGUGCAAGCUUCCUCACACUGUCCUGCCAAUGUGCUUCCACUCAGACCUGGAGGGCAAUGAAUGAAAUGGUAAGUCUCCAUGUCCAUUGAGACCUUGGCCUCU
rnacentral:sRNA from 1 species